GUAAAUUAAGAUGACCACCACCCGAACUACUUAACUCCUGUGUAAUCACAACAUGAUGCGUUGAAUUCAAUAGGGUGGAUUCGACUCUGAUGCUGUGGCAACCGCAAACAUCUUGGAGACCUCCACACCAGUGAUCGACGGGAAGAAAUACUACUUCAUCUCGGUUCUGACGAGGACGGCCGACGGAGACGAGGGCGGGAAGCAUCAGCUCAUAACAGCGACUGUCUCCGGUGGUAAGCUUUACAUCUGCAAGGCGCAAGCUGGUGACAAGAGAUGGUUCAAGGGUGCCAGGAAGUUCGUGGAAAGCGCAGCGAGUUCCUUCAGCGUUGCAUAAGAAAAUUCCCUCGCGGGCCUUGAAUUCCUGCUGCUGUGAACGAGUUGAAUGCUGCUGCGACUGCCAAU
rnacentral:lncRNA from 1 species